rnacentral:lncRNA from 10 species
CUAAUUCCUACUAUUUUCUACAUUUGGACUAUGAAAUUUGACUUUUCUAAUUCUACUGCGAAAUCACAUAGUGAGUGUGUAAAAGUGAUGGUGUGUGAUCCUCUUCACAAAUUUCUAUUCCCUUCCUUAUCUGUUGGGAGACAUUAGACACAUUCAUUUGAAAAAUUGUUCUUUUCAACCAGUUCUUUUAUUUCCAUACACCAUUUAAAAAGUAAUUCCCACUGCAUCUACACAAAGUUAAAAUAUAUUAAUUUGCUUCAAUAUAGCAUUUUCUUUAUUGUGUGCCAGAAAAAUAUCACGGAAAUUUUCCUGUACUGAAAAGCAAAUACCGCUUUUCCACUUGGGCAGCCUCUCCCAUCCAAUCGUCAUUCACAUACACCUUCAUCAUUCACUGGGUUCUCACUGAGCACUCCCUCUUAGCCAUGCAGGUGCUCACAGAUGUACCCCAAAGAGGAGCGGCGUGCAAAGCAACAUGUCUUCAAAUUCAAAAGUGACAGUGGGUUUGAGGACAAGAGAGGGGAAGAAAUCCAAAUUUAGAGGAAGAGUAGCAAGUGGUAAGGCUUGGGCCCAGGAAUGAGCCAAGCGCAGGCGGGGAGAAUAAAUAGAUUAGCUCAGCAACAGAAGAGGAGCCCAGCCUUUGGAGACUACAAAGGGUCAUAAGGAGGACACAAUUAUUAAAGUAAUGCAGAAGCCACUGUAAUUUCUCAAGCAGGAAACUGACAGUGACAAAAAUGGUGCUUGGCCAGGUGCAGUGGCUCAUAUCUGUGAUAAGUUAGCCAGGUGUGGUGGCUCACACCUGUAGUCGGGAGGCAGAGGUGGGAAGAUUGCCUGAGACCAGGAGCUCAAGGCUGUAGUGAGCUGAGUUCAUACCACUGU